rnacentral:tRNA from 1 species
GCUGACAUGGCUCAAUUGGCAGAGCAGCUGACUUGUAAUCAGCAGGUUGUAGGUUCAAUUCCUAUUGUCAGCUCCA